rnacentral:rRNA from 1 species
GACGAACGCUGGCGGCGUGCCUAAUACAUGCAAGUCGAACGAACCGCGACUAAGUGCUUGCACUAAGUCAAGGUGAGUGGCGAACGGGUGAGUAACACGUGGGUAACCUACCUCAUAGUGGGGGAUAACAGUCGGAAACGACUGCUAAUACCGCAUAGGACAUAGGAUCACAUGAUCCAGUGAGGAAAGGUGGCGCAAGCUAUCGCUAAGAGAUGGACCCGCGGUGCAUUAGCUAGUUGGUAGGUUAAAGGCCUACCAAGGCGAUGAUGCAUAGCCGACCUGAGAGGGUGAUCGGCCACAUUGGGACUGAGACACGGCCCAAACUCCUACGGGAGGCAGCAGUAGGGAAUCUUCCGCAAUGGACGCAAGUCUGACGGAGCAACGCCGCGUGAGUGAAGAAGGUCUUCGGAUCGUAAAGCUCUGUUGUUAGAGAAGAACAGCGCAUAGAGUAACUGCUAUGCGUGUGACGGUAUCUAACCAGAAAGCCACGGCUAACUACGUG